GUUAGGAAUAUUGGACAAUGGGCGAAAGCCUGAUCCAGCCAUGCCGCGUGAACGAUGAAGGCCUUCGGGUUGUAAAGUUCUUUAGCCGAUGAUUAUAAUGACUGUAGUCGGAAAAUAAGCCCCGGCUAACUUCGUGCCAGCAGCCGCGGUAAUACGAAGGGGGCGAGCGUUAUUCGGAAUCACUGGGCGUAAAGCGUGCGUAGGCGGUUUUGUAAGUUGGGAGUGAAAGCCCAGGGCACAACCUUGGAAUUGCUCUUAAACCUGCAAGGCUCGAAUCUCGGAGAGGAUAGCGGAAUUUCCAGUGUAGCAGUGAAAUGCGUAGAUAUUGGAAGGAACACCAGUGGCGUAAGCGGCUAUCUGGACGAGUAUUGACGCUGAGGCACGAAAGCGUGGGGAUCAAACAGGAUUAGAAACCCGGGUAGUCC
rnacentral:rRNA from 1 species